ensembl:lncRNA
AAGAGCCGGACAAGCAUAUUCUUCUAGCUUGAAAGAUAUACAUCUGGUGAGGUUAGGAAGAGAUUCUGCUAAUGCUCAGAUCAAAACACAAACUGAAUAAUGGAAUAAUCGAAUCACAGAAUUAUAGAACGGGAGAAUCAUAGAAUAAUUUGGAUUGGAAGGAACCUUAAAGAUCAUCUAGUUCCAAGCCCCCUGCUAUGGGCAGAGACACCUCCCACUGGAUCAGGAUGUCCAAAGUCCAAUCUAAUUUGGCCUUUAACUCUUCAAAGGAAGGAGCAUCCACAGCUUCUCUGGGAUGGAUCUAUACUGGAAGCCGUGUGAAUCCCCUUUAAUUGGAUCCCUAGAAAAUCCAACCCCACAUUUAAAAACUCUCCUGAGUUCUUUUGUUAGCAAGACAGUACAGAUGAUAUCUGCAGCAGAAAUGGGAUGACAAAGGAAGAAAACACUAGAGACCACAUUUUUCCGAACACUGCCACGAACAAUCCUGUGAUUUUCUGGCCUCCAUAUGGUAGCAACCACUACCUUGAAAGAUGCUUAUUCAGAGCCAUAAUUGAAUCAGAACCUGUUUUAAAACCAGAAAGUAAAGAAAAAGCAUUAAGUGUUCAGAGACAUGAAAUACUUUGCGCAACAUUCCCUGGAGUAAUUAGUCACUCAGCAAAACAUGCCUGUAACUCAGAGCAGCAUUUUGUCUUGAAUGAAUUCAGAGUGGAAAAUGUUGUUACAAGUUGCUGAAGAGACCUGACCUUAAUAUUCUCAAAAUUAAAAAUCUACACCUGCCAAUGAAGACAGAUGAAUACUAGGGCAAGUCAUAACUAUGGGCAAACUUCCAUGGCUGGCUGCAGUAGCCUUGAGUACCACACUUACAUCCCUUUGGCCAGAAGCAAAGCAGCUGUGGCAGGGAGGCCAUUCAGCCUCCUUGCAGAAAGAAUAUUAAAUCAAAUGCAGCACUUUGCUAACAUGACUGUACAGCUUCUGGACAAGAGGUGGUUUUUUGUUGUUAUGUUUGGGAUUUAUUACACUUGAUUUGUU